GAGUUUGAUCUUGGCUCAGAACGAACGCUGGCGGCAUGCCUAACACAUGCAAGUCGAACGCGACCUGGUUUUUCGGACUAGGUUGAGUGGCGGACGGGUGAGUAACGCGUGGGAACCUGCCCAUGGGUCUGGGAUAACUGCGGGAAACUGCGGCUAAUACCGGAUGAGUCCUGAGGGAGAAAGAUUUAUCGCCGAUGGGAGGGGCCCGCGUCGGAUUAGGUAGUUGGUGGGGUAACGCCUACCAAGCCAUCGAUCCGUAGCUGGUCUGAGAGGAUGAUCAGCCACACU
rnacentral:rRNA from 1 species